UCACCAAUCCAGCCUGGCUGGGUGUUGGGCAGCGCGGCCUUCCCGCCGCACGCCCCAAUGUCGCCGGCCACGCCGUCCGUCCCCUCGCGUUGUGGCAUCUCGUCUCGCGUCGGUGGUCGUUCGGGGUGCGCCGUUCAACCCAUACUUCUUA
rnacentral:misc_RNA from 1 species